rnacentral:lncRNA from 1 species
GUUGAAGGGAGACGUGGAACUUGUGUGAUGUCGGCGGAGGCGCGGUUUCCGGCGAUUCAAUGAAGGGUGAAGGAGAGAUGAACAGUGAGAGACUUUUCUUUUUCGUUUUUUAGAGAGGGUGUUUUAGGAGAGAGGUCACGUGUCUGUGCCUUACUUUUUGUUUUCUUUUUCGUUUCUUUUUAUUGUUCAGAGGGAGAGAGUCAUUGAUGAGAGUAUUGGUGGGUUUUUGCUUUUCAAAAGUUUGUUUUUCUUUGUUUUUUAGUGAGCAGAGACAGAUGUUGAAUGCUAGCUGUUACCAAGAGAGAAGAUAAGAUCCUUCUUUUUUCCUUUUGCCAGAGAGAGAUAGUGGAUUGGAGAGAGAUUUUUUAUUCAUUUUUUUAACGAUUGAGAUCAAAUGAAAG